rnacentral:rRNA from 1 species
AACGAACGCUGGCGGCAGGCUUAACACAUACAAGUCGAGCGCCCCGCAAGGGGAGCGGCAGACGGGUGAGUAACACGUGGGAAUCUACCCAUCCCUGCGGAACAACUCCGGGAAACUGGAGCUAAUACCGCAUACGCCCUACGGGGGAAAGAUUUAUCGGGGAUGGAUGAGCCCGCGUUGGAUUAGCUAGUUGGUGGGGU